CGAGCUCGGAAGAGGUCAAGUCGAGGCCGGCGGCAGCCACGGCGGCCGGCUCUCUCCUUCCUGCGGAGGAGGUAUGGGCACCGAAGGAGAGGAAAAACCACCUUCUCCUUCUUCCCUCUCUUCUUCUUUAUUUCUCCUUCCACUAUUCCUUCUCUGUUUUCACUGAACAGAGAAGAGGAACAAGGGAUGGGGGUGCUCUUCGGUCCUCAAAGUGGCCGUCACUGAGGGUCGGCAGCGCCUGUGGCCGAAGGCAUGCCGAUUGCCAUGGGUGCCUC
rnacentral:lncRNA from 1 species